rnacentral:lncRNA from 1 species
ACAUCCUGAAGAAACUCAUCCUGUAGUCAGCAUUCCUCCAGUGGUGAUUACUGACAUCUGAGGAGACUGACCUGUGGCAUACUGUCACUGCAGCAGAGUAUCUUGCUGGGAGAAAAUUUUGGGUUGUCUCCUGGAUUGAUCAGACUGUGGCUUCUCUGUCCUAUAUAGACAAGGAUAAAGAACCUCCCCGAGGUGCUCUAGGAGAGACAGCGAGAUCUGGUGGUGGGAUAUGGAGGUCUGAAGUCUCCCACCUGCUCUGCCAAGCAUGUACUCUCCAGCUUUGGUGUGGACUUUUCUGCUGGAGCUGGACUCUGCAGUACCAACUUGACAGCAUCUGGACCCAAACUCUGCUCAGGCAGCAUGUCUCCCAGCUUGGCCAGCACCACCCAUCAGGAAAAAUUGCUGUCUAACUGAUCCUUUGUGGACUUCCGACUGAAACCACCCAGUACAACAUAUGGUAAGUCAUUCAAUUCUUUUUAAACUCGG